rnacentral:sRNA from 1 species
AAUGAAUCUGAAUGCUUUCAUAGAAAGUUGAUGAACUAAUCUUCUGUAAUGCUAUUAUGAGGAUUACCCUUUGAGGUUUAUAGCAAUAGGCCGCCCUAUGGUUUGUCACAUGCAUUUAUU